GGGUCAAUGAUGAAAAAUCAUAUUGUCAUGAAGAAAGUUGAUGAUAUAAAAUGAUUCUCAUUAGCAGUCAGCUGAGGGUU
ensembl:snoRNA SNORD115 Small nucleolar RNA SNORD115